rnacentral:rRNA from 1 species
UACGUAGGGGGCAAGCGUUGUCCGGAAUCAUUGGGCGUAAAGAGCGUGUAGGCGGUCCGGUAAGUCAGCUGUGAAAGUCAAGGGCUCAACCCUUGAAAGCCGGUUGAUACUGUCGGGCUAGAGUCCGGAAGAGGCGAGUGGAAUUCCUGGUGUAGCGGUGGAAUGCGCAGAUAUCAGGAGGAACACCGAUGGCGAAGGCAGCUCGCUGGGACGGUACUGACGCUGAGGCGCGAAAGCGUGGGGAGCGAACAGG